rnacentral:rRNA from 1 species
UACGUAGGGUGCGAGCGUUGUCCGGAUUUAUUGGGCGUAAAGAGCUCGUAGGCGGUUCAGUAAGUCGGGUGUGAAACUUUGGGCUUAACCCAAAGCGUGCAUCCGAUACUGCUGUGACUUGAGUUCGGUAGGGGAGUGGGGAAUUCCUAGUGUAGCGGUGAAAUGCGCAGAUAUUAGGAGGAACACCGGUGGCGAAGGCGCCACUCUGGGCCGAAACUGACGCUGAGGAGCGAAAGCAUGGGUAGCAA